rnacentral:rRNA from 1 species
UCCUAGUGAUUAGAGUUUGAUCAUGGCUCAGAACGUACGCUGGCGGCACGCCUAACACAUGCAAGUCGAACGAAGUAGCAAUACUUAGUGGCAGACGGGUGAGUAACAUGUAGGUAUCUGCCCUUUGGCCUGGAAUAACACGAGGAAACUUGUGCUAAUACCGGAUAAGUCUUUACGGAGAAAGCUUUAUGCACCAUUGGAUGAGCCUGCACUUGAUUAGUUUGUUGGUGGGGUAAUGGCCUACCAAGACUGUGAUCAAUAGCUGAUUUGAGAGGAUGAUCAGCCACAUUGGGACUGAGACACGGCCCAAACUCCUACGGGAGGCAGCAGUGGGGAAUCUUGCACAAUGGAGGAAACUCUGAUGCAGCGAUGCCGCGUGAGUGAAGAAGGCCCUUGGGUUGUAAAGCUCUUUCGUCGGGGAAGAAAAUGACUGUACCCGAAUAAGAAGGUCCGGCUAACUUCGUGCCAGCAGCCGCGGUAAUACGAAGGGACCUAGCGUAGUUCGGAAUUACUGGGCUUAAAGAGUUCGUAGGUGGUUGAAAAAGUUGGUGGUGAAAUCCCAGAGCUUAACUCUGGAACUGCCAUCAAAACUUUUCAGCUAGAGUUUGAUAGAGGAAAGCAGAAUUUCUAGUGUAGAGGUGAAAUUCGUAGAUAUUAGAAAGAAUACCAAUUGCGAAGGCAGCUUUCUGGAUCAAUACUGACACUGAGGAACGAAAGCAUGGGUAGCGAAGAGGAUUAGAUACCCUCGUAGUCCAUGCCGUAAACGAUGUGUGUUAGACGUUGGAGAUUUAUUUUCAGUGUCGCAGCGAAAGCGAUAAACACACCGCCUGGGGAGUACGACCGCAAGGUUAAAACUCAAAUGAAUUGACGGGGACCCGCACAAGUAGUGGAGCAUGUGGUUUAAUUCGAAGAUACGCGCAGAACCUUACCAACACUUGACAUGUUCGUCGCGACUUUAAGAGAUUAAAGUUUUCGGUUCGGCCGGACGAAACACAGGUGCUGCAUGGCUGUCGUCAGCUCGUGUCGUGAGAUGUUGGGUUAAGUCCCGCAACGAGCGCAACCCUCACUUUUAGUUGCCAUCAUUAAGUUGGGCACUCUGAAAGAACUGCCAGUGAUAAGCUGGAGGAAGGUGGGGAUGACGUCAAGUCCUCAUGGCCCUUACGUGUUGGGCUACACACGUGCUACAAUGGUAUCUACAACAGGAAGCAAGACGGCGACGUUAAGCAAAUCCUUAAAAGAUACCUCAGUUCGGAUUGCACUCUGCAACUCGAGUGCAUGAAGCUGGAAUUACUAGUAAUCGUGGAUCAGCGUGCCACGGUGAAUGCGUUCCCGGGUCUUGUACACACCGCCC